rnacentral:lncRNA from 1 species
UGUCAUACAUAUAUUGGUUUAGCAUAAUAAUAUUGUGCUGUAUUCUCCUUUUGUUUCACUGACAAUUAUAAAUCUAUUAUUCCAUGUCAUUAAAUAUUACAAGUUCACCUUUAAUUUUAGUGUGGUAUUUUAUAAUAGCCUUAGUCUAUAAUGCAUUUAGUCUUAUAGAGAAGUAUAUAGAAACUGGUUUUGUUUUUCUUUUUGUAUAUGAUGCUGCACAAAACAUUAUUGUAUCAUCUUUUUUUGUUUUUUUCUCGUUUAUCUCAUUUUGCCUACAGAAUUUGGAUGUAAUCAAAUUUAUCUACAUAUCCGUUUACUGUUUUAUGACAUGGUUAGAAAGACUUUUCUCGGAUUCAGCUUAUAAACACUUUAACCAUUUAUUUUCUGAGAGGAAGUAUGUCCAGUAA